rnacentral:rRNA from 1 species
ACUAGAGUAGCACUCGCAUAUCAAUAAGCGGAGGAAAAGAAACUAACAAGGAUUCCCCUAGUAACGGCGAGUGAAGCGGGAAGAGCUCAAAUUUGAAAUCUUAAAGGGUUUCCCUUUACGAAUUGUAGUUUAAAGAAGUGUUUUCUGUUGAGGUUUUGGUAAAAGUUCUUUGGAAUAGGACAUCAUAGAGGGUGAGAAUCCCGUAUUUGACCUUUACUUUCAACUUUGUGAUACACUUUCAAAGAGUCGGAUUGUUUGGGAAUGCAGUCCAAAAUGGGUGGUAAAUUUCAUCUAAAGCUAAAUAUUGGCGAGAGACCGAUAGCGAACAAGUACCGUGAGGGAAAGAUGAAAAGAACUUUGAAAAGAGAGUUAAACAGUACGUGAAAUUGUCAAAAGGGAAGCGUUUGACACCAGUGUUGUUUUUCUGAAAAUCAAUUAAAGAACUGUUUAUGCUAAGUUGUUUAGACUUUAUCAGCUAUCUGCUUAGUUUUGAGCUUUUCUUUAAUGCACUUUUCAGUUAACAAGUCAACAUCAAUUUCUUUUGCUGUAAAAAAGCUUGAGGAAGGUGGCUUGAGAUUCGUCUUAAGUGUUUAUAGCCUCUUGCCUAUGCAGUCGGAGAGAUUGAGGUCUGCAGCGUAGAUCCUUCGGGGCUAAAUGCAUUUGUGCUAAGUUAUAGCAUUUUAUAGACAACUUGUUGACUAUGAUUUGUCUUGUAGCUUACUCGCUUAUGUUAUUUUACCUACGCUUAGGAUGUUGAACUCUAUCACACACAG